rnacentral:tRNA from 1 species
CGGGACGUGGCGCAGUUUGGUUAGCGCACUGGUCUGGGGGACCAGGGGUCGCCGGUUCAAAUCCGGCCGUCCCGA